rnacentral:rRNA from 1 species
GACGAACGCUGGCGGCGUGCCUAAUACAUGCAAGUAGAACGAGUGGCGGACGGGUGAGUAAUGUCUGGGAAACUGCCUGAUGGAGGGGGAUAACUACUGGAAACGGUAGCUAAUACCGCAUCCCAUCAGAUGUGCCAAGAUGGGAUUGGCUAGUAGGUGGGGUAACGGCUCACCUAGGCGACGCGCCCUAGCUGGUCUGAGAGGAUGACCAGCAAAACUGGAACCGAGACACGGUCCAGACUCCUACGGGAGGCAUCAGUGGGAAAUAUUGCACAAUGGGCGCAAGCCUGAUGCAGCCAUGCCGCGUGUAUGAAGAAGGCCUUCGGGUUUUAAAGUACUUUCAGCGGGGAGGCGUUACCCGCAGAAGAAGCACCGGCUAACUCCGUGCCAGCAGCCGCGGUAAUAC